UACCAGGGUAUCUAAUCCUGUUUGCUACCCACGCUUUCGUCCCUGAGCGUCAGUAUCGAGCCAGAUAACCGCCUUCGCUACCGGUGUUCUUCAUGAUCUCUACACAUUUCACCGCUACACCAUGAAUUCCAUUAUCCUCUCUCGAACUCAAGACAAGCAGUAUCGAAGGCAAUUUCACGGUUGAGCCGUGAACUUUCACCACCGACUUACUUGCCCGCCUGCGGACCCUUUACACCCAGUAAUUCCGGACAACGCUUGCACCCUACGUAUUACCGCGGCUGCUGG
rnacentral:rRNA from 1 species